rnacentral:snoRNA from 1 species
AUUAAUGAUGAUUUAAAAAUUCUUCACUUUGACCUGAUUGUCUUGAUGAGAAAAAUUCAUUCUGAUA